rnacentral:lncRNA from 1 species
GAAAAAACUCCUGAGAUGUUUGAGGGAUCCAGGCCCAGGCACAUUAAAAGAAUUGGAAGCCGGGUGUGGUGGCUUAUGCCUGUAAUCCCAGCACUCCGGAGACUGAGGCUUCCCUUCAGCCCCCCAGCCCCGACAGGCACCUCAUCAGUCAAGGGUGUGAGCAUCAAAUCCAGCCUCCUCCACCUACUUAUUCCAGGACCUCGGCCUGGUGAGCUGUUCUCUUCAGUUCUUAGUUUCAUCUGCAAAGUGGAAAGAAAAAUAUGAUGUACGUAAAGAUAUGAGGUUGUUUUGAAGAAACGUUUGAGAGUAGAAUAUGUGAAGAUCCCUAGAAUGUCGCUGCCAAUCAACAAAUCCUGAUACCUCUUGUUCUGGGUUUACAGCCUCACCACCCAGGACCACCUCCAAUUAUUCCUCAGUGUCCACAGAGGAUUGGCUUCAAGACCCACCCUCUCUCACUGAGCGGGUGCCAAAACACUCAGACACUAAAGUCUCAUAUAGAGCAUGGCAUAGUACUGCCUGUUACCUGUGUUCAUCUUUCCAUAUACUUUAAAUCAUCUCUUGAUGUUUUAUAAUACUGAAUACAAUGCAAAGCCUGUGUAAAUAGUUGUUCUAUUGUAUGGUUUAUAGAAUAACGACAAGGAAAAUCAAUCUGUAUGUGUUUGAUAGAUGAUUUCUUUUUCUGGUACUAGGAGUGAACCCAGGGCUUCUCACUGGGCCG